GGGUUGUGAGGUUAAGCGACUAAGCGUACACGGUGGAUGCCCUGGCAGUCAGAGGCGAUGAAGGGCGUGCUAAUCUGCGAUAAGCGCCGGUAAGGUGAUAUGAACCGUUAUAACCGGCGAUACCCGAAUGGGGAAACCCAGUGUGACUCGUCACACUAUCAUUAACUGAAUCCAUAGGUUAAUGAGGCGAACCGGGGGAACUGAAACAUCUAAGUACCCCGAGGAAAAGAAAUCAACCGAGAUUCCCCCAGUAGCGGCGAGCGAACGGGGAGGAGCCCAGAGCCUGAAUCAGCAUGUGUGUUAGUGGAAGCGUCUGGAAAGGCGCGCGAUACAGGGUGACAGCCCCGUACACAAAAGCGCAUAUGCUGUGAGCUCGAUGAGUAGGGCGGGACACGUGGUAUCCUGUCUGAAUAUGGGGGGACCAUCCUCCAAGGCUAAAUACUCCUGACUGACCGAUAGUGAACCAGUACCGUGAGGGAAAGGCGAAAAGAACCCCGGCGAGGGGAGUGAAAAAGAACCUGAAACCGUGUACGUACAAGCAGUGGGAGCCCCACCACUAAGCCAGUGGUGAACUCCACAUACGCAUCCUUUGCUGAGGAUACGGUUAACGGAGCGCAAGCGACGUUCAACCUCAAAAGAAGCAGAGGGGGCUUAGUGGUGGGGUGACUGCGUACCUUUUGUAUAAUGGGUCAGCGACUUAUAUUCUGUAGCAAGGUUAACCGAAUAGGGGAGCCGGAGGGAAACCGAGUCUUAACCGGGCGUUAAGUUGCAGGGUAUAGACCCGAAACCCGGUGAUCUAGCCAUGGGCAGGUUGAAGGUUGGGUAACACUAACUGGAGGACCGAACCGACUAAUGUUGAAAAAUUAGCGGAUGACCUGUGGCUGGGGGUGAAAGGCCAAUCAAACCGGGAGAUAGCUGGUUCUCCCCGAAAGCUAUUUAGGUAGCGCCUCGUGAACUCAUCUCCGGGGGUAGAGCACUGUUUCGGCUAGGGGGCCAUCCCGGCUUACCAACCCGAUGCAAACUGCGAAUACCGGAGAAUGUUAUCACGGGAGACACACGGCGGGUGCUAACGUCCGUCGUGAAGAGGGAAACAACCCAGACCGCCAGCUAAGGUCCCAAAGUCAUGGUUAAGUGGGAAACGAUGUGGGAAGGCCCAGACAGCCAGGAUGUUGGCUUAGAAGCAGCCAUCAUUUAAAGAAAGCGUAAUAGCUCACUGGUCGAGUCGGCCUGCGCGGAAGAUGUAACGGGGCUAAACCAUGCACCGAAGCUGCGGCAGCGACGCUGAUGCGUUGUUGGGUAGGGGAGCGUUCUGUAAGCCUGUGAAGGUGGCCUGUGAGGGUUGCUGGAGGUAUCAGAAGUGCGAAUGCUGACAUAAGUAACGAUAAAGCGGGUGAAAAGCCCGCUCGCCGGAAGACCAAGGGUUCCUGUCCAACGUUAAUCGGGGCAGGGUGAGUCGACCCCUAAGGCGAGGCCGAAAGGCGUAGUCGAUGGGAAACGGGUUAAUAUUCCCGUACUUGGUGUUACUGCGAAGGGGGGACGGAGAAGGCUAUGUUGGCCGGGCGACGGUUGUCCCGGUUUAAGCGUGUAGGUGUGUGUUCCAGGUAAAUCCGGUUCACUUUAACACUGAGGCGUGACGACGAGGCACUACGGUGCUGAAGCAACAAAUGCCCUGCUUCCAGGAAAAGCCUCUAAGCAUCAGGUAACACGAAAUCGUACCCCAAACCGACACAGGUGGUCAGGUAGAGAAUACCAAGGCGCUUGAGAGAACUCGGGUGAAGGAACUAGGCAAAAUGGUGCCGUAACUUCGGGAGAAGGCACGCUGACAUGUAGGUGAAGUGAUUUACUCA
rnacentral:rRNA from 1 species